rnacentral:sRNA from 1 species
AUGUCCACACAUGUCCACACAUCCAAUUCUAAAUCCUCCUUAAUUCUGAACCACUCUCUCUCUCGUUUGCUUUGCUGAAUCCUCCUUAAUUCUGAACCAGUCUCUCCCUCUUUCUCUCUAUUCACAAUUAAUCUCUCUGCAACUACUACUUCCUGGAUCUGAAAACUAGAGGUUGGUUAUGGAUAUUGGCCUCUUCUUCUUCGUAUUCUUCUUCAUCCGCUGCUGCUCUUGCUGAUGCUGAUGAUGCAAUAAAGUAAUUGUUUUGGAUAUUAUUUUGAAGCCGGAGAAAGCAAAUAAGCCCUCGUCAAAUUGGUUCUGAAAAAGCUUCAGUACAAAAGAUUGAAAGAGAGAGCAAAUGGAAAAAGAAAACAAGGCAGAGAACAGGAGAAAGAGGAAUCGAUCAGGUGACGAUGAUGAUACUGAUUGUGAGGGGAGCAAAGCAAGGAGAAAAGAGGUUAUGGACAUUGCUUCUUCUUCAUCAUCCGCUGCUGAUAACCCCCCACGUCGAGAAAAGUAUGAUGUGUUUAUCAGUUUCAGAGGUGAGGACACCCGCCUUGGUAUUACCAGCCAUCUUCAUGCUGCCUUACUUCAGAAGAAAUUUGAAACCUACAUCGAUAAUAGACUUCAGAGAUGAGAAGAAAUCGGAUAUGCCCUUCUAGAAGCAAUUGAGAAAUCCACCAUUUCGGUGAUCAUUUUCUCACAAA